AGUGAACGCUGGCGGUAGGCCUAACACAUGCAAGUCGAACGGCAGCACAGUAAGAGCUUGCUCUUACGGGUGGCGAGUGGCGGACGGGUGAGGAAUACAUCGGAAUCUACUUUUUCGUGGGGGAUAACGUAGGGAAACUUACGCUAAUACCGCAUACGACCUACGGGUGAAAGCAGGGGAUCUUCGGACCUUGCGCGAUUGAAUGAGCCGAUGUCGGAUUAGCUAGUUGGCGGGGUAAAGGCCCACCAAGGCGACGAUCCGUAGCUGGUCUGAGAGGAUGAUCAGCCACACUGGAACUGAGACACGGCCCAGACUCCUACGGGAGGCAGCAGUGGGGAAUAUUGGACAAUGGGCGCAAGCCUGAUCCAGCCAUACCGCGUGGGUGAAGAAGGCCUUCGGGUUGUAAAGCCCUUUUGUUGGGAAAGAAAAGCAGCAGGUUAAUACCCCGCUGUUCUGACGGUACCCAAAGAAUAAGCGCCGGCUAACUUCGUG
rnacentral:rRNA from 1 species